rnacentral:lncRNA from 1 species
CUGAGUAAAUCGGAGUGCAACAAGGAUGAAGUAGGAAAAUUUCUCAAUAGAUAGUUGAACUUCGCCUAAACAAAACUGGGAUCAAUGACAACAAAUUUACAGAUCUAAAUGCCCUUAUAUCAGGAUGGAAUUCUAGGAUCCUUCCAAAAGAAAAUUUGCACCUUAAAAUGCAUGAGCAGAUCAAGACGCUUAUGAUUAGAGUUCCUGGGACAGUUGGUUCCUUUACUGUUUUCUGAAUGUAGAAACAGAAUGGGCAGCUCUCAGCUCAUGAAUCCAUAUCAUUUAAGACUGCACAUUACUCGACAGUCCC